UACGUAGGGGGCAAGCGUUGUCCGGAAUCAUUGGGCGUAAAGCGCGCGUAGGCGGCCCGAUAAGUCCGCUGUGAAAGUCCAGGGCUCAACCCUGGAAAGCCGGUGGAUACUGUCGGGCUAGAGUCCGGAAGAGGCGAGUGGAAUUCCUGGUGUAGUGGUGAAAUGCGUAGAGAUCGGGAGGAACACCAGUGGCGAAGGCGGCUCGCUGGGCCGGACCUGACGCUGAGACGCGAAGGCGUGGGAGCGAACGGGG
rnacentral:rRNA from 1 species